rnacentral:rRNA from 1 species
CCUACGGGUGGCAGCAGUGGGGAAUAUUGGGCAAUGGGCGCAAGCCUGACCCAGCAACGCCGCGUGAAGGAAGAAGGCUUUCGGGUUGUAAACUUCUUUUCUGAGGGACGAAGAAAGUGACGGUACCUCAGGAAUAAGCCACGGCUAACUACGUGCCAGCAGCCGCGGUAAUACGUAGGUGGCAAGCGUUAUCCGGAUUUAUUGGGUUUAAAGGGUGCGUAGGCGGGCUGUUAAGUCAGCGGUAAAAGCCCGGGGCUCAACCCCGGCGAGCCGUUGAAACUGGCUGUCUUGAGAUGUCGAGAGGUAUGCGGAAUGCGCAGUGUAGCGGUGAAAUGCUUAGAUAUUGCGCAGAACUCCGAUUGCGAAGGCAGCAUACCGGCGGCGAUCUGACGCUGAGGCACGAAAGCGUGGGUAUCGAACAGGAUUAGAUACCCCAGUAGUC